AUGGAUCCGGGAUUCGGGUCGUGACAAACUUGGUAUCAGAGCUUUAGGUUAAAGAAACAAUAAUAUAAUUAAUUUCAUAAUAAGUGGAGCAUUAGGAUCCGUAUCGUCUUGUUUGUUGUUUUUGACAUUUUAAAUUCUCAUCAAGUAUGUCUUCUUCCUUGUGAUAGAUAUGCUUUCCUAUAUUCUGAGAUAAUUAUCAUGCUAUUGUUCUAGCAUGACUUAAGUGAUCUCUCUUUUAUUUUAGGAAAUGUCGAGGAAUAGACGAAGAACUGAUACUCUUAGGGUAGAUGAUGAUCAGGAUGAUGUCCCU
rnacentral:lncRNA from 1 species